AUUGAACGCUGGCGGCAGGCCUAACACAUGCAAGUCGAGCGAGCGGCGGACGGGUGAGAAAUGUCUGGGAACCUGCCUAUUGUGGGGGGAUAACAACGGGAAACGGUGGCUAUUACCCCAUACCAUAUGAUAUGCCCCGAUGGGAUUAGCGAGUGGGGGGGGUAAUGGCUCACCUAGGCGCCGAUCCCUAGCUGGUCUGAGAGGAUGACCAGCCACACUGGAACUGAGACACGGUCCAGACUCCUACGGGAGGCAGCAGUGGGGAAUAUUGCACAAUGGGCGCAAGCCUGAUGCAGCCAUGCCGCGUGUGUGAAGAAGGCCUUCGGGUUGUAAAGCACUUUCAGCGGGGAGGCGUUACCCGCAGAAGAAGCACCGGCUAACUCCGUGCCAGCAGCCGCGGUAAUUC
rnacentral:rRNA from 1 species